GGAGAGUUUGAUCCUGGCUCAGGACGAACGCUGGCGGCGUGCCUAAUACAUGCAAGUAGAACGCUGAGGAUUGGUGCUUGCACUAAUCCAAAGAGUUGCGAACGGGUGAGUAACGCGUAGGUAACCUACCUCAUAGCGGGGGAUAACUAUUGGAAACGAUAGCUAAUACCGCAUGACACUAGAGUACACAUGUACUUAAUUUAAAAGGAGCAAUUGCUUCACUAUGAGAUGGACCUGCGUUGUAUUAGCUAGUUGGUGAGGUAACGGCUCACCAAGGCGACGAUACAUAGCCGACCUGAGAGGGUGAUCGGCCACACUGGGACUGAGACACGGCCCAGACUCCUACGGGAGGCAGCAGUAGGGAAUCUUCGGCAAUGGACGGAAGUCUGACCGAGCAACGCCGCGUGAGUGAAGAAGGUUUUCGGAUCGUAAAGCUCUGUUGUUAGAGAAGAACGGUAAUGGGAGUGGAAAAUCCAUUACGUGACGGUAACUAACCAGAAAGGGACGGCUAACUACGUGCCA
rnacentral:rRNA from 1 species